rnacentral:lncRNA from 1 species
AGAGGAUUCAACAAGAGUCUACUGUGGUUGAGGAAAAUAGAGUACUGAAACAAAAAAUGACUGAAAUGUGUCAAGCAUGGGCCAACGGCCAAGGACCGCCCUUUCUUCUCAUGGUUUCCCAUAGUUCACACCCAUCUCGACUACUUCCAUUCCAUUCUCAUUAUCUGAUCAAUCUUUGGAUUUAGUCAUUAUCCCAACAGUACGACUACAGCUAGAACGUUUGUUUCAUGCUCUCAAAGUUUGUCAUUGACAACCAAUAAGACAAACUCUACUGUUAUGCCUGUCUUUACCAUCAUACAAUCGACGGUGGUACAGAGGAAAACUCAUGAGCUAUAAUUUGCUACUGAGAAAGAGCAGUACCACUCGUACUUGUUUGAUAUUCCUUUAAACAUUGAGAAGCCUACUCGAAAGAUGGCACAUGAAGAAAUGACCCAAAGAAUGAAAAGCUUAGAACAACGGUUGAAAAACAUGCAAGGGUUGGCUGGUUAGAAGAACAUUGCCUUCAAGGAUUUAUUUAUGUUCCUCGAUGUCCACUUGCCACCUGGUUUCAAGACUCCCAAAUUUGAAAAGUAUGAUAGACAUGGAGAUCCCAUGGCCCACCUGAAAAGGUAUCGCAAUCAGCUAAGAGGUGCUGGACGAAAUGAAUAAUUGCUAAUAGCUUAUUUUGGGAAAAGCCUUAUGGGAGCAGCCUCCGAAUGAUUUAUGGAUCAAGAUACCUCUCACUCGCAUGUUUUUGGGAUGACAUGGCUCGGGCCUUUGUCAAAUAGAUACAACAUUGACAUUGCUCCAUACCAGAAUUCCCUUUCAAACAUGAUGAAGAAACUAAAUAAAAGUUUCAGGGAAUAUGCCAUUAAAUAGAGAGAGCAAGCUGCUAGAGUUAAGCCAUCCAUGGAAGACCACGAGUUAAUCACUGUCUUUCUUUAGGCUCAAGAGCCAAAUUAUUUUCAAAACAUGAUGUCCACAGUGGGAAAAUCCUUCUCGGAAUAAUUCAAAAUAGGAGAAAUGGUAGAGAAUGGUCUUAAGACAGGCAAAAUUAUAUGUCAAGCAGUUUUUAAAGCAGUAACUCAGGCUGUCCAGGCUGAAUCUGAUAAUUUUAGUGACACAAAUGAGAAGGAUGAAGAACUCAUGACAAUGAUAGGGUCGAGAAGAGGUCCCAGGAGAACAUCUUGAAGGUAUGAGCAGUCUCAUGAGAUUUCCCAUGACUCCUAUAAGCAUUACUAUCCACCUCAGAACACACAAUACUCUGUUGCUCCACCUCAGUAUGUGGUCUAUCGACCAAAACACUCCAGAAGGCGAGCACGAGCACCGCAAAAUUUUUAUGUGCCCUACAACCCACAUCCAAGACAGGGGUAUAGAGCAUAACAAAGGUUGAAAGAUAAUUUUACACCAAUAGGAGAGUCAUAUGCAAGCUUGUUUAAGAAAUUAAAGCAUUAUGACAUGAUUGCACCUAUUCCUCCAAAUCAUCUGGACCCACGUGCAAGAAGAUUUGACCCUUCUAAAAGGUGUGAAUACCAUGCUAAUGUCUAGGGGCACAAUGUUGAAAGUUGUUGGGAUAUGAAAAGAGAAAUUGAAAGGAUGAUCAAGGAAAAACUGAUUGUAAUCCAAGACAGUGAUACCUAGAGUAUCGCGUGGAGUCCUUUAUAUGCACAUGAUGAUGCAUGGUGACACGAAGAAUGAGAAUCCCUUCGAGAAUUCGCUGACUGAAAUUAGAGAAGGAAAUAGUGAUUAUGAUGAGCAAAGUUGUGGCUAAAUGUCAAGCUUAGCCAUUGAAAAGUCAUUCUAUCCUCACUAGGAAGGAAUCUUGGUAGCUUGUUUUGAUGUUUUUUCUGUUAUCUGGGUUAUUUUAGGGUUGUGAUCCAAUUUUUAUUUGUCUAAUUGAGUCAAACUCUCCUAUCCCUUUAUUUUGUCUGCAUGAGUCUUGUCUGUUUGUUCUGUUGCUAUUUCAGUGUCUGGGUUAUUUCACGGUUGUAGUUCGGAUUUUAGGUUGUUUUUCUUAUUUUCAAACCCUUCCAUUCUUAUUCACUAAAAUACAGCUUUCUGUGUCAUUCUGUGCUUAGUUUCUUUCCGCUAGUUUUAGUGAGAUGAUAUGCAUGCAGAAUUGUUGGCCAGGUCUUAGAAAAUUUAUUUGAGCUUGAAUUGGAUAACUGGAAACAAGAAACUUUUGAGGAUGAAAAAGAGUUGAAAUACCUUGGAAUUAAGUCCGAGGAAGAUUCAAGUGGAACUAGAAUAGUCAUACCCGUAGAGGUUAAGAAUCUUUACCUUCAAAAUCAUUGUAAAGGUCGGGCUUGAGGAAAAUCAAUUGAAGUUUGUUAGAAAGUUUGACAUUAAAGGAUUAAAAGUGUCUUGUAACCACGACACACCAAUAAGAUAGACAUGUUCAUCAAUGUUGUGAUAGCAAAAAAGAUAAUAUGUUUGGCGUUACUUGAGGUUGAGAGGCCUUUUUUACGCUACGCAAACACUUCGUACCCUUUGUUACCCCUUUUGAGCCUACGUUAUUUUCUUUGACCACCCUCUUUUGGAAUCGGGUUUAAAGUCAAAAAUGAAUAAUAAAAGAACUAUCAAAGGUCCAUGCCCCCUGAAAAUAGAAGAUGGGGCAACUUCUUUCAAAAACAAAAAGAAAAAAGAAAGGAAAAAGAAAUAGAAAGAAGAUGAAACAAAUUAAUUAGCUCAAAUGUUUGAACUACGUUUGACCUGAUUCCUUAAAAAAUGGUACGUAAGCAGCCUUGUGGUUUGGUUCAACCAAAUAAGAAUUCGAAAAAAAUUCAAAAAUCUCUAGUGUUUGAAACUGCGGAAAAAAAUUUAUUCCUUUUUUGAAAGAGUCGAUUCCAAGAGUUGUAAGUCUACAACCCCCUCAGUUUGAGUCGACUUUAAGCAUUCAUGCCGUCUUUUCUUUCCAACCCUAUCCAAGAACCUUCAAAAUAAAGACCUCCUCAUCGUUCUCCAAGAAUGACAACAAAAGCAUGAAUGAGCAACGAUUGUCACACAAUAUAGAACACUAUCAAGUUGCUCACAAUAAAAGGAAAGAAAAAUAAAAAUAAAAAUGAAAGAGUCUUACUAGUGAAAAUCCCCACGGGCACUGUAAGUUGACGAACAAUCCCGACUUGAAAGUUUAUAAGAAUUGCAAAAGGUAAUAUUGGAUUAGUUUGAUAGGCUAUGUCGUUGAGUCAAAAAUGCAUGCCAUGAUUAUUAAGCCUAGUUAUUGAAAAAAGGAAAAAAGCACUUCCUUCUAUCCUUCCGACAGGAGCAUUUCUUAUUAAUACUUGUUUCUUUGUAUUAUUGUGUCCUUCACUUUGAGUUGAUCCUUGUCAAAACAAGCAAGAAAAGAUUUUAAAAUCUGCUACCAGCUUUUAUUGCACAAAGUAAAUUUGGCCAGCAUACUCAGUUGUUACUGUCGAUAUACCUUGAGGAUUCAUGCAAAGGCUCCCCUAAAAAAGACACUUCUCAGACAACUUGGAGCAAGCAAAGAUAACUGGUGAUUCUCUCAAGAUAUCAGAAAAAGUCACCUAAGCAAAGAUUUCCCGUUGGGAUAAAGCUGAUUGAGCCACAAAUACAAAUGGUGCUGGGUGUGAAAAAUUUAGGGUUGAUUCAGAGGAAAAGUUUCUUAAAACCAACUCAAACUGAUUGAACAGAAGCCAAGUUGCCCAAGACUCAAGGCAUCAAACCGACCACCACUUUUAAAACUGAGAAAUUUUUCUUUGUGAAACGGGAACAAAGUAGUGCAAGGAAAGUGGUUCUAAAAAAUAAAUUUAAAAAAACAAAAAAAAAAAGAGGAAAAAGAAAAGAAGAGAAGAGUCGACAAAGGGAAGUUUCUCAAAUCUUUGCCUUUAAUUGUCUCGUUGUUGUGCAUAAAAUCUUGUCAUUGAUCUUCACACUUUCCUCAUAGGGUAAAAAGUCCUAGUCUUAUGUAUUUUCCACCCGAUAAAAAAUCCUAGUCUGAUGAAUCUUUCUCCUAGGAUAAAUAUCUUUGUUUGAUGAAUUUUUAUCCUAAGAUAGGAAACUUAGUCAGAUGAAUUUUUUCCUUAGGAUAUAAAUCUUAGGCUGAUGAAUCUUUAUCCUGAGAAAACAAAACAAGAGGGGGAUGGGGGACCUAGUCUGAUGAAUUUUUUCUUAGGAUCAAAAUCUUAGUAUGAUGAAUCUUUCUCCUAAGAUAGAAGACCUAGUCGGAUGAACUUGCUCCUAAUAUAGAAAUCUUAGUCUGAUGAAUUUUUUUCCUAAGAUAGAACACCUAGUGUGAUAAACUUUCUCCUAGGAUAGAAAUCUUAGUCCGACGAAUCUUUCUCCUAAGAUACCAAAAAAGAAAAGUGACCUAGUCUGAUGAACUUUCUCCUAGGAUCGAAAUCUUAGUUUGCUGAAUCUUUCUCCUAAGGUAAGACACAUCGUCUGAUAAACUUUCUCCUAGGAUCAAAACCUUAGUUUGAUGAAUCUUACUCCUGAGAUAGAAAACCUAGUCUGAUGAAUUUUCUCCUAGGAUAAUAAUUUUUUUUAUAAGAAAAGGGAAGUCUAGAUUUGGAAAAAAGGGGGUCAAUUUCUAGUUUUCUUAAGUUAAUAAUUUUUAGUCUUCUUGAAAUCAGAGGUCUCGUCUGGAGAAUAGGGUCAAUGUUUACUUUAAUCAAGCAUAUUUUAUAGUGUUUCGCAGGCUCAAUCUUAAAUCUAAGAGACACACUUCCUAGUCUGGGUCAUUUAGUUUUUUUAGCAGAUACAUUUGCUAGUCGAAAUUUUCUUGAUUUUACUCACAGGAGACACACUUCAUAGUCGAGACUCCAAUUUUACUCUCAUCAGUAGCAUAGGUGAUUUAUAGUUCUUCUAACAACUCACAAAUCUUCCUAGUGCAAACGGAGGCAGAAAAGUUUCUUUUGUUUUAUUUGUUUUGUUGUAGUAGUAGGCACCCACCUGAAGAAAAAGGGAAUUUAUUUCAGUCAUUUGAAGUUUCAAGUCGGUAGCAGGUGCCCACCUUGAGAAUAAGAGAAUUAAUUUCAAGUUGGAGUCAAAGACAGCAGGAUCCCUCCUGAAGAAUAAGGGCUACCUCCCGUCCUAUUCAAGUUAGAAGUAGCAAAAGCUCGCCUCAAGAAUGCAGGUCGAAAGGGGUCCGAGAUAACCAAAAAGAAUUCUCAUUCAAGAAUAAAAGAAAAAAAAAUGAAUCCAAAGUGCAGAAGUUGAUAAAAGAUGUGGACUGCUCAAGACAUAAUUAAAGUCACAAGCUCUGCUUGUCUCGUCUUGAUCUAAAAAAGCUUAAGAAGAUUGAACCAACACCUGCAACUAACAAGCAUCAAGGUUUAGAUCAAAGUCCACAUGAAGAACCAACCAAGACUCAAGAUCAAGCUUCAGAAGACUUAUAGAUAGGAAUAUUGUAACUCGUAGUUGAUAGACUUAGUUAGUCUUUUUUUAAUUUUGAUUUUGAUGUAAUAACGGGACCGCAGACCAGAACCCCGAUGACACCUCAAGAGGCCCAAACUUUACAAAAAUACAGGCUGAAGGUAGAAGACCCAUAAUCGAGCCUAAAUGAAAACAAACUGACAUACAAACCAAAGAGAUAUGCCAAAUGAACUUGAUCGUCAAUAUCUAACAGCUUGACAUACAUGAAAUAUUAAUUGCUUUCAAAAACCAUCUUACAUUCGUUCCUUGCUAUCCAAUCCCAAUUUUAUGUUAAAUACUGAUAUUAUCAAAAAUAAAGCACACCAUAUAAAACUCAUCACUUAAUGCAAACCUUAAUGCGGUACAUCAUAUCUAAGCCCAUACUAAGCCCAUAUGGAUUGAUUUUAUGAAAACCUUCAGCAUUAAUCUCCUGGAUUCCUCUUCCUUAGUAUUCGUGUCCUAAUUUACACAUGCCGACAUAUUUAAGCACAGAAUAUAAACCAACGUAUGUUGAAUCUUCAUGCAUCAGCCUUCAAAUACUGCACAUAAUCACUAUUGUAGAAGAAAUUGUGUAUUCCUUUUCAAAGAGAAUGUGACAGCAUAUCCAACAGUCAACAUACACAAUAGAUUUCAACCAUUUUACAGGCUAACAUACUACCUUUAAACACCUAUUCCACCAUUACAAACACAACCUUAGGCUAAUAACAUAAAUAAGCAAGCAAUCUCAUGAAGCAAAGCUGAAUUACUAAAGAAUUAAAGGAGUUUAAUGACAUAAAAUGACAUUUGAUAAACAACAUGUCAUGAAACUUUCCAUCAGAUUAUGUAACUUCAGAUUUCCAACUCUUACACAUCUAGGGAUCUAGAAAGUACCUAGAAAUUACAAAAGGAAGAAGAGGUGAAAGCGAUGAAUAGCAACAUCAGGACAACAAUGAGACAAUAUCAGCAGAAAUCAACUCCACCAGCAAAAGAAUUGUAAGCCACCACCAAACUCAAGUAAAAAAAUUCUUUAACCAACAGAUUCAGUCCAUUUGUGAAGUCCAAACCAAUAAAAUGACAAAUCCUAGAGAAUCAGCCCCAAUUUCUAACUCAAACCAUUUUCAAACUCCAAAUGAAUCACAAGUUGCUUCAGAGGCUGAAAAUUUCAGGAAUCAAAGAAGGAAAUUCAAUAGAACAAUAUUUUUCUCUCAAAAGUUCUAGUUGUCUGUAUUUUGUAUUUUCAGCUCUUAAGUUCUCUGCCUUGAAAGGCAAGGUAAAGAUGCCUUUAUAGGCAAACAAAUAGGGCAGACCUAAAAGUUCAGUUUUGCACUUCUAGUACCUCUCUAAUUUUAUUUUUUGCUUAAUCUAAGAAGCUUCCUAAACAGUUAACAAAGAUUUCCUCACCUAAAUUCCCUAAAUUACCCCUGAAACCUUGUUAAUUAACCCAAAAGCCCAAACGGGUCAACUGGCUAAGCUAAAUGGGUUGUAGCCCCCAAAUUGGAUCCUUAUUUGGGCAUGUUGCUAUUUAUCAACCAACUAAGAAUACUUAGGGGCUCCGGAAUAAAACUAACCUAGAAUUUUCCCCAAAUGAAGAAAACCCAAACCCAAUUCUGUGAAAGCAAACUGAAACAAAAGCAAAAAAUGAAUGAAUUAACCACUAUAAUUUCAUAAUAACAAUUAACUAAUCAUUGACCUAAUUUUAUUAGCUAGAUGAUUUAACUAACGAUGAGACAACAAUUAGCUAUUAACAUAGAGAUUAAAACCAAGAGAAGAAAGUGUAUUAAAAGGAACUGAGAUAUUAUAGCUAACAAAGAAAAAAACGAGGAACCAGUUUGAACUACAGAAUACCCAAACAACAUUUGGACCAAUCCAAACAGAAGGGGAUGAGGAGGAAAAUGAACCACGGAAAGGAAAUCAAUCAAGAGAGGAAGAAAAACUUACCCAGUCACGCUCGAAUGAGGUCGCUUUUGAUAAAUCAAUAGGUUUUUAGUCUUGCAUAAGGCUGGUGGACUUCUUCAAAUUAUUGACCCGAAUAGCCCUUAAUCGUGUGUUUCCAUGUGAAAACACACGAAAAAAGGCCGUUACAGUCCAAAUUAUUCAAAAAACCGAUGAUUUGCACUUUGGUUUUUUAGGGUUCCUAUAUUCAAAUCAAGAUUCGAGAAGAUGCGGGAAGAUUCGAAGGAAAUGAAGUAUAUUUAUCGAAUGAGGGGGAGACGGGGGUUCAGGGUUGUUAAUUUGGUGGUAACUAGGACUGGUGCCGUCACCUUAAGGCGGUGGAAACAGAGGCGGCGGGCCAGGGUUUUUGGAUGGUCUCUGAGAUAGAGAGGAGUGAAGCAGACGAUGUAGAGGGGGAGAGUGAUUUAGACACUUAAUAUUUAAGUGUCCCCC